rnacentral:rRNA from 1 species
AUUGAACGCUGGCGGCAUGCCUUACACAUGCAAGUCGAACGGCAGCACGGGUGCUUGCACCUGGUGGCGAGUGGCGAACGGGUGAGUAAUACAUCGGAACAUGUCCUGUAGUGGGGGAUAGCCCGGCGAAAGCCGGAUUAAUACCGCAUACGAUCUACGGAUGAAAGCGGGGGACCUUCGGGCCUCGCGCUAUAGGGUUGGCCGAUGGCUGAUUAGCUAGUUGGUGGGGUAAAGGCCUACCAAGGCGACGAGCAGUAGCUGGUCUGAGAGGACGACCAGCCACACUGGAACUGGGACACGGCCCAGACUCCUACGGGAGGCAGCAGUGGGGAAUUUUGGACAAUGGGCGAAAGCCUGAUCCAGCAAUGCCGCGUGUGUGAAGAAGGCCUUCGGGUUGUAAAGCACUUUUGUCCGGAAAGAAAUCCUUGGCCCUAAUACGGUCGGGGGAUGACGGUACCGGAAGAAUAAGCACCGGCUAACUACGUG